rnacentral:lncRNA from 1 species
GGGCCGAAAAGAUAGCAUCACCUCAUGACAAGUGGGAGCUGCUUAUAUUUAUUGUAUCGAAUGAUGGCUAAGGCUUUGGGGAUAGCGAGAUUUUAUUCACGACUGCUCUUUACAAAGAGGCCCCUUGUCAAUUACCGCCAUCAUGACAAGUCACUAUAUUUGAUGGCUCAAUAUGACAGGAAUAUCAUGAGGCCUUUUGGGGCCCAAUGACCAAAGCCAGAGGUUAGAGAUCGAUGUUGGGAUCAAUAGUCAAAGCAAGGGCCAAGGCCACUACGGAGUUCGUCAAUAGAAGUAG